AUUGAACGCUGGCGGCAGGCCUAACACAUGCAAGUCGAGCGAGCGGCGGACGGGUGAGUAAUGUCUGGGAACCUGCCUGAUGGAGGGGGAUAACUACUGGAAACGGUCGCUAAUACCGCAUACCAUCAGAUGUGCCCAGAUGGGAUUAGCUAGUAGGUGGUGUAACGGAUCACCUAGGCGACGAUCCCUAGCUGGUCUGAGCGGAUGACCAGCCACACUGGCACUGGGACACGGGCCUGACUCCUACGGGAGGCAGCAGUGUGGAUGAUUGCACAAUGGGCGCAAGCCUGAUGCAGCCAUGCCGCGUGUGUGAAGAAGGCCUUCGGGUUGUAAAGCACUUUCAGCGGGGAGGCGUUACCCGCAGAAGAAGCACCGGCUAACUCCGUGCCAGCAGCCGCGGUAAUUC
rnacentral:rRNA from 1 species